rnacentral:tRNA from 1 species
ACUUUAUUAGUUUAUUAGAACGUAAUUUUGAAGAAAUUAAAGAAUUUAGAGUA